rnacentral:rRNA from 1 species
AUAUUGGACAAUGGGCGAAAGCCUGAUCCAGCCAUGCCGCGUGUGUGAAGAAGGUNUUNNGAUUGNANAGCACUUUAAGUUGGNNNNNAGGGCAGUAAGUUAAUACCUUGCUGUUUUGACGUUACCGACAGAAUAAGCACCGGCUAACUUCGUGCCAGCAGCCGCGGUAAUACGAAGGGUGCAAGCGUUAAUCGGAAUUACUGGGCGUAAAGCGCGCGUAGGUGGUUCGUUAAGUUGGAUGUGAAAGCCCCGGGCUCAACCUGGGAACUGCAUCCAAAACUGGCAAGCUAGAGUAUGGCAGAGGGUGGUGGAAUUUCCUGUGUAGCGGUGAAAUGCGUAGAUAUAGGAAGGAACACCAGUGGCGAAGGCGACCACCUGGGCUAAUACUGACACUGAGGUGCGAAAGCGUGGGGAGCAAACAGG